GCGAGAGUGGCGGAACUGGCAGACGCGCUAGACUUAGGAUCUAGUGGAGCAAUCCGUGGGGGUUCGAGUCCCCCCUCUCGCA
rnacentral:tRNA from 1 species